UACGUAGGGGGCAAGCGUUGUCCGGAUUUACUGGGCGUAAAGCGCGCGCAGGUGGUUUCUUAAGUCUGAUGUGAAAGCCCACGGCUCAACCGUGGAGGGUCAUUGGAAACUGGGAGACUUGAGUGCAGAAGAGGAAAGUGGAAUUCCAUGUGUAGCGGUGAAAUGCGUAGAGAUAUGGAGGAACACCAGUGGCGAAGGCGACUUUCUGGUCUGUAACUGACACUGAGGCGCGAAAGCGUGGGGAGCAAACAGG
rnacentral:rRNA from 1 species